rnacentral:lncRNA from 1 species
GGGGAUCCAUAAUAAACCCCAGGAAGAGUAGCUGCUGCCUUGGCAGGAACUAAUGGGGAUCCAUAAUAAACCCCAGGAAGAGUAGCUGCUGCCUUGGCAGGAACUAAUGGGGAUCCAUAAUAAACCCCAGGAAGAGUAGCUGCUGCCUUGACAGGAACUAAUGGGGAUCCAUAAUAAACCCCAGGAAGAGUAGCUGCUGCCUUGGCAGGAACUAAUGGGGAUCCAUAAUAAACCCCAGGAAGAGUAGCUGCUGCCUUGACAGGAACUAAUGGGGAUCCAUAAUAAACCCCAGGGAGAGUAGCUGCUGCCUUGGCAGGAACUAAUGGGGAUCCAUAAUAAACCCCAGGAAGAGUAGCUGCUGCCUUGACAGGAACUAAUGGGGAUCCAUAAUAAACCCCAGGAAGAGUAGCUGCUGCCUUGGCAGGAACUAAUGGGGAUCCAUAAUAAACCACAGGAAGAGUAGCUGCUGCCUUGGCAACAGGAACUAAUGGGGAUCCAUAAUAAACCCCAGGAAGAGUAGCUGCUGCCUUGGCAACAGGAACUAAUGGGGAUCCAUAAUAAACCCCAGGAAGAGUAGCCUUCUAUUAUAAAGGCUGUCAUGGUAACAAGCGUUCUAUUAUAAAGGCUGUCAUGGUAACAAGCGUUCUAUUAUAAAGGCUGUCAUGGUAACAAGCGUUCUAUUAUAAAGGCUGUCAUGGUAACAAGCGUUCUAUUAUAAAGGCUGUCAUGGUAACAAGCAUUCUAUUAUAAAGGCUGUCAUGGUAACAAGCGUUCUAUUAUAAAGGCUGUCAUGGUAACAAGCGUUCUAUUAUAAAGGCUGUCGUGGUAACAAGCGUUCUAUUAUAAAGGCUGUCGUGGUAACAAGCGUUCUAUUAUAAAGGCUGUCGUGGUAACAAGCGUUCUAUUAUAAAGGCUGUCAUGGUAACAAGCGUUCUAUUAUAAAAGCUGUCAUGGUAACAAGCAUUCUAUUAUAAAGGCUGUCAUGGUAACAAGCGUUCUAUUAUAAAGGCUGUCGUGGUAACAAGCGUUCUAUUAUAAAUGCUGUCAUGGUAACAAGCGUUCUAUUAUAAAGGCUGUCAUGGUAACAAGCGUUCUAUUAUAAAUGCUGUCAUGGUAACAAGCGUUCUAUUAUAAAUGCUGUCAUGGUAACAAGCGUUCUAUUAUAAAGCUGUCAUGGUAACAAGCAUUCUAUUAUAAAGGCUGUCAUGGUAACAAGCGUUCUAUUAUAAAGGCUGUCAUGGUAACAAGCGUUCUAUUAUAAAGGCUGUCAUGGUAACUGCAAUAUUAGUGGAUUGUUUUUUUCUCAAGACUUGAGUGUCAUUUGCAGUAAAGUCCAGGAAACAAAUAACAUUGGAUUGUUUUCGUUAUUCACAAUUCCGAUGAACAAAUAAGGUUUUACAUGUAAGAUGGUUAAAUAAAGAGCAAAAUAAUUGAUCAUUAUUAUAUUAUUAUUUGUGCCCUGGUCCUAUAAGAACUCUUUGUCACUUCCCACGAGCCGGAUUGUGACAAAACCUCACACUCAUUCUUAUGUUUAAUAAAUGUAUCGUAUAGUGUGUGUGUGGCAGACUUACAAUGACGGCAACAACAACAUUUGAGAGUGCCCUGAUCCUGGUGCUAGAGGGGGUACAGCUGGAGGGUGAAUGUUUGAAGGGGUACAGCUGGAGGGUGAAUGUUUGAAGGGGUACAGCUGGAGGGUGAAUGUUUGAAGGGGUACAGCUGGAGGGUGAAUGUUUGAAGGGGUACAGCUGGAGGGUGAAUGUUUGAAGGGGUACAGCUGGAGGGUGAAUGUUUGAAGGGGUACAGCUGGAGGGUGAAUGUUUGAAGGGGUACAGCUGGAGGGUGAAUGUUUGAAGGGGUACAGCUGGAGGUUGAAUGUUUGAAGGGGUACAGCUGGAGGGUGAAUGUUUGAAGGGGUACAGCUGGAGGGUGAAUGUUUGAAGGGGUACAGCUGGAGGGUGAAUGUUUGAAGGGGUACAGCUGGAGGGUGAAUGUUUGAAGGGGUACAGCUGGAGGGUGAAUGUUUGAAGGGGUACAGCCGGAGGUUGAAUGUUUGAAGGGGUACAGCUGGAGGUUGAAUGUUUGAAGGGGUACAGCUGGAGGGUGAAUGUUUGUUUGUUUAAUUAGUUAAAACCUGCAUUUCCCACUAGCAUGGCAUGUUUCAUUCAAGGGUUUAUCUUCAUUUUGACAAUUUUCUACAUUGAAGAAUAAUAGUGAAGACAUCAACACUAUGAAAUAACACAUAUGGAAUCAUGUAGUAACCAAAUAAGUGUUAAACAAAUCAAAAUAUAUUUUAUAUUUGAGGUUCUUCAAAG